AGGGAUAUCAAGGACACGACGGUGGGCACGCUGUCCCAGCGGAUCACGAAUCAGGUCCAUGGCUUGAAGGGACUGAACUCCAAGCUUCUGGACAUCAGGAGCUACCUAGAGAAAGUAGCCGUGGGCAAACUCCCCAUCAAUCACCAGAUCAUCUACCACCUUCAGGAUGUCUUUAACCUGCUUCCAGAUGUCAACCUGCAGGAGUUUGUCAAGGCCUUUUAUCUGAAGACCAAUGACCAGAUGGUGGUCGUUUAUCUGGCCUCUCUUAUCCGCUCCGUGGUUGCCCUGCACAACCUCAUUAACAACAAGAUUGCCAACAGGGAUGCAGAGAAGAAGGAAGGACAGGAAAAAGAAGAAAGUAAAAAGGAGAGAAAAGAUGAGAAGGAGAAAGACAAGGAGAAGAGUGAUGUCAAGAAAGAGGAGAAAAAGGAGAAAAAGUAAAAUGUGUAGUUUUUUUAUUUGUAAAUUAAAAAUCUUGUAAACUAAA